rnacentral:lncRNA from 1 species
UGAAUCUCGGAUUUUGAUGAUGAAGUCAAUUAUCAUUUGUUGUCUAAUCUAUGUGUUGAGAUAAGUGUGCAGGAUUAACUACGAUGAAAGUUAGACAAGCAGCAGGAGUUGCGCCGGAGUCAAGUUCAUGAUCACGUUGGGAGUUCGAGAGUUCGACGGAAGUUCGGACGGUCGUCGGAGGUUCUGCGAGAACAGAUCCGAGAAGUCCAGAAGCUUGCCAAGCGAAGCUCGUCGGAACUUGCCAAGUGGAUCGUCGCAAAGUCCAGGAGUUUGCCGGAAGUCCGCAGAAGCAUCACCGAGGGUUCAUCGGAUGAUCGACGAAAGUUCGCCGGAAACUCGCCGGAAGAAGCGAUUGACGCACCGAAGCAAAGCUGCAGAAAUUGUCUUAGAUCUAAUCGUAGUUAGCACGUUGAUUAAGUUGGAAAAUGGGAGGUGAUCCCAUUAGCUUAAUCUUGGGGCAAUUGAGCCCCUGAAAGACUGAAAUUGGGCCGAAUGGAGCUAACCAUUCGGACCCUGAUUGCACCAGGAGGUGCAACCGCCUAGGCCAGGAGGUGGCACCGCCUGGGCUAAG